UGCCAGACAGGUGUGUCCCUAAAAGGGGGA
rnacentral:piRNA from 1 species